UCCAGGGUAGCCUAGUGGACAUGGCAUCUGUCCGAUAAGCGAAACACUCUGGGUUCGAUAUCCAUCCCUGGAC
rnacentral:tRNA from 1 species